AGAGUUUGAUCCUGGCUCAGAUUGAACGCUGGCGGCAUGCCUUACACAUGCAAGUCGAACGGUAGAGGGGCAACCCUUGAGAGUGGCGAACGGGUGAGUAAUAUAUCGGAACGUGCCCAGUCGUGGGGGAUAACGCAGCGAAAGCUGCGCUAAUACCGCAUACGAUCUAUGGAUGAAAGCGGGGGAUCGCAAGACCUCGCGCGAUUGGAGCGGCCGAUAUCAGAUUAGGUAGUUGGUGGGGUAAAAGCCCACCAAGCCGACGAUCUGUAGCUGGUCUGAGAGGACGACCAGCCACACUGGGACUGAGACACGGCCCAGACUCCUACGGGAGGCAGCAGUGGGGAAUUUUGGACAAUGGGCGCAAGCCUGAUCCAGCAAUGCCGCGUGCAGGACGAAGGCCUUCGGGUUGUAAACUGCUUUUGUACGGAGCGAAACGGUCUGGGUUAAUACCCUGGGCUAAUGACGGUACCGUAAGAAUAAGCACCGGCUAACUACGUGCCAGCCGCCGCGGUAAUAC
rnacentral:rRNA from 1 species